AAGGUAUGAAAGAAUGGCUUUAAUUUAAAAUUUUUUCUUCUAGUGGCAGUUUUCUCUAUACACAGUGUACAAACACAUAAUUACAUUCUCAGACUUUCAGAAUCCUCUGACACUGGGUUGGAAGCAGAUUUUAGGCCAUGCCUCCUCCCCAUCCCAUUGUUUAGCUUUCCUGCAGUUUAUUCCGGGCGUGAACUCGGUGGUGUUUAGUAAGGGCUGAGCUCCGGCUGAAGUUUCUCCCACACUCCUUGCAAGCAUAGGGUUUCUCUCCAGUGUGAGUUCUCUGAUGAUCGUGCAGAUUGGUCUUCUUUCUAAAGGCCCGCCCACACUCAUUACAUUCAUAGGGUUUCUCUCCGGUAUGCGUCCUUUCGUGCUGAAUGAGGGAUGAGCUUUGACUGAAGGCUUUCCCGCAGUCAAUGCACUCAUAGGGUUUCUCGCCAGUGUGGGUCCUCUCGUGUUGCGUGAGUGACGAGAGUCGACUGAAGGCUUCUCCACACUCAUUGCAUUCAUAGGGUUUCUCUCCAGUGUGAAUUCGAUGAUGCUCUAUAAAACUUGUACUCCUUUUAAAAGCUUUUCCACAUACGUUGCACUGAUAGGGUUUCUCUCGGGGAUGAGACAGGGACUGCUGACCAAGGGCCUGUUCAGAGCCGUAGGAAUUCUCCCCAGCGUGGAGCCUCUGGUGCUCAGAGAAGUCUGUAAUGUGACCGAAGUCUUUCCCACAGUCAUUACAAUGGUACGACUUUACUUCAGUAAGCAGGCCUUCACCUUGAGGAAGAGGAGUGUUAGGCACAAAAGCUAGGCUGAAGUUGUUACUUUGGUAAGGUUUGCUUCUUUUAUGAAUCCUCAUAUGUUUAUAAAGGGAUGGGCUCUGACCAAACGCCCUCCCACAAAUGCUGCACUCGAAAGGCUUCUCUCCUGUAUGGGUCCUCUCAUGCUGGACAAGGGAAGAACACCUGCUAAAGGCCUUCCCACAUUCCUUACACUGGAAGGGUUUCUCCCCACUGUGGGUCACCUCAUGUUGCGUAAGGGACGUGCUGUGCCUGAAUGACCUCCCACAGAGAUGACAGCGAUAGGGCUUCUCUCCCGUGUGGAUUCUCUGGUGUUGAACAAGAGAUGAACUGCGCUGGAAGGCUUUCCCACAGAGACUACACUGAUAGGGCUUCUCUCCUGUAUGUGCGUUUUCAUGCUGACCAAGGGACGAGCUGUGCCUGAAGGCCUUUCCACACACAUUACACUCAAAGGGUUUUUCCCCAGUGUGAAUUCUCUGGUGCUCUGUGAGCUGUGUUCUCCAGAGGAAGGUUUUCCCACAGUCCGCACACUCAUGGUGUUUCCUUCCAGACUGAGCUCCUUGGUCUGUACCACUGGAGUAAGGAUCGCCUUUAUGAAUCUUCUCGUGUUUAUUAAGUGAUGAUCUAUGAAUAAAUGAUUUCCUACAUUUAUCACACUUAUAAGGCUUCUUUUUAGCAAGGAUAUUACUCUGAGUAACUAGUUCUGAAUUGUGUUCCAAAUUAUUUCCAAAUGUUUUACAGUCACUGGGCCUUAUACUUGAAGAAAUGUCCAGUUGUGGAACCAAGUCUGUGCUCAAACUAGAGUCUUCACCAACUUUUUUUUGCUCAAUUUUUUUCUCUAGAGUGGUUAUUUUCUUCUGGGAAGAUGCCUCUGGCCCCAGAUGUCUUCUCCCACUUUCCUGAUGCCCCUGGAUAGUGACAUUCCAGAUAUCACCUAUUGUGGUGUGUGAUAAAACAUUUGUUCUGAGGAAUACUUCAGAUACGCCCUGCUGAGGACUCCGUGAGGACUCAGGCCUGGUCUUCCAGUCUAAAAGAAAUAUAAAGUGCAAAAGUUCCCACAUUUCUUGCAGCUCAAACAAAAUGCUAGAGUAGGGAUAAGAAAAUGAGAUAGAAAUCAUGCAUGGCUGUAUUUUUAAAUCAGCCCCUUAGAGAAAGAUGCCUGCAGAAAAGAAAGAGUGAGGUACCAGUGAAUAUUACAAAUCCAGAGUGCCUGUCACAUCCAGAGAGUGAGGAAAGCCCAUGUAAGUGGGCGAGUGUGAUACGAAAGAGAAGCACAGAGGAGCCUAAGAGUACUGAUUUUACAUAACAAAAACCUGCCUGGCUAGUACAUCCAUUUUAUAAUUCCUUUACAGUAACCUAUUAGAUAGCAGGCUUCUAAAUACUGCAGAAAAAAAAUCUUCAGCUAAGGACCUUCUGAAAAGAUUCUCUGACAUAUGGGGAAGCCACACACCAUGCUAAAAACUGAAACAGUUUGUGUGAGCUCUGAUUCUAUAGCGACCAUCUCUCUUCUGUGAUCUGUAAUUUUAAAAUAACAUUUAUUGCCUAGCAAGCCUUUAAGCCCAACAUCUGGGACCUGAGAGCAGAGUUUGAGGUCGGCCUGGUCCACAUAGAAAGUUCCAAUAAAACUCAUUUAUAUUCUGUGUGUGUACACACACACACACACACACACACACACACACACACACACACCACACAGUCUCACAUCCAAGCAUCAGAGCACAUGUGCAGAGGUCUGACAAAAGUUGAAGGAGUAAAUUCUCUCCUUCUAUCAUGUGACACUCAUCUCCUUCUACCAUGUGACACUCAUCUCCUUCUACCAUGUGACACUCAGGGACCAAACCCAGGCCAUCAGAUUUGGCAACAAGCGUCUUACCUGCUGAGCCAUCUCACUUGCCUAUUUAGUAUCUGGAACAGGGCUCUCACUGAACCUGAGAGCUCACCGAUUCAGCCACACAGGCCAGCCAAUGAGUUUCAGGAAUCCAUCUGUCUCUCCCUUCCCUCGUCCUACCAGUGCCGGGGUUACAGAUCUCUAGUGUUCAUGGGUGUUGGGGAUCUAAACCAAGAUUCUCAUGUUUGAAAGCAGGCACUUUUCUAACUUAGCUGUCUUCCCAGUCCCCAAACCUCUUUCUCUUUCUUUUUAAAGUGCUCUUAAAAUACCUUUUUAAAAGCUUCAUUUUAUUUUAUGAGUGUUUUGUCUCCAGGCUUAUAUGUGCACCAUGUGUGCCUGGUACCCAUUGAGGUCAUUGGAUCCCCCUACUCCUGGAAUUACAGAGUUGUGAGCCACCAUGUUGAUGCUGGGAAUUGAACCUGAGUCUUCUGAAAGAGCAAAUCUCUAAUUGCUAAGACAUUUCUCUAGUUCCCCUUCCCCAUCACCUCACUUUACAAAGAAUUUAUUUCAGUCAAUAGAUAUAUCCCCUAGGUCUGUUUUUUACCAUAGAAUAAUAAUACUAGAUAACAUUAAUAUUUAGGUUCCAAGUAUAGUAAUUUUUAGAACUUAAGCUUAUAGACUCAGUGUUUAGAGGCACUUGUUGCUUUUGUAGAAUACCAGAUUUGAUUCCCAGCACCCACAUGGAAUCUCAUAACCAUCUGUGACUUUAGUCCUGGGAAAUCCAAUGCCCUCUUCCGAGCUCUGUGGGUACCAGGUAUGCACACAGUACACAUAUAUACAUGCAGGCAAGACAUUCUUAUACACACACACACACACACACAUAUGUAAAAUAAAUAGAUCUAAAAAAAAAAAAGAAUGUUUACCUUAACAAACUAAGGGAAACACCAGUCACCUUUGCUUAUACCUAUUACCCUAUUACCUGGGAAACUGAGGCAGAAGAGAUCAUGAGUUUGAGGCCAAUCUGGAUACAUAUAGGGAGAUGCUCUCUCAAAAAUGAAAAUACUGGGGAGUGUGGGUUGGAAGGGCUAAUGCACUUGUCAAAGCCAACAGGGUUGAACAUUUUAGUGUAUAUAGCAUUUACUUAAAAAAAAUAAACCCUAUAGGGCUGCCAAUAGAACAAGCUAGUUGAAAGCCUGUCUAGCACUCCCAGGGUCCUGGCUUUGAUCACUGCUACCAAAUAAACAGGGUGUGAUGGGGCAUCCCCCACAUUCCCAAAACUCAGGUGGCGGAGGCAGAAGGAUCAGAAGUUCAAAUCAGGGAAGAAAAACCUAAGGCUGGGAAGGUGGCCCAGGGGUCAAGAUUACUUGCUAUUCAACGGAGAGUACAUGAGUUGGAUCCCGUCACUCACUCUCACUUAUUGAGAGCCCCACACAAUAACUGUAAUUUGAGCUCCAAGGGCUGCAAUGGCUUUUUCUUCUAUCCUUCAUACACACACACACACACACACACACACACACACACACACACACACACACACACACACCACACACCACACAAAUAAAAUAGAUCUCACAAACUCAAACAACAACAAAAAUCAAGCAUGUCCCUCCAAAAACCAAAACCAACCAACCAACCAACCAAACAAUCAAAAGAACCAAAAAACCAAAAAAAAACCCAAAACUAUAAAAAUAAAUUGGGAGGCUAAAGAGGUGAGAGGUGGCUCAGCAGUUAAGAACACUGGCUGCUCUUCCAGAGGACCAAGGUUUGAUUCUCAGCACUGACUUGGAGGCUCCCAACUGUUAACUCCAGUCCCUCUGAGGGCUGCACAUAUGUGGUACACACCUACGUGCAAACAAAACACCCAUAUCCAUGAGAACAAGUGAGCAGAGCUUGAGAGGUGGCUCAGUGUUUAUACAGCAUGCACUGCUCUUUCGAAGGACCCAAGUUCAGCUCCCAGCACCCACACUAGGGAGCUAACAACUGACUGUGACACUAACAACUGACUGUGACACUAACUCCAGAGGAUCCAUUGCCCUCUCUGCCUUUGGUGGCUCGGGAACACAUGAACAUAUACUUCCUACUCUUGCUUAUAUAUACAUGCCCUGAGAUUUAAGGAAUAAUUCAUAGGUUAAUUAAUUAAAAAGCUGAACCCUGGACUCAGGAUAUAGUUUGUUGAUACAGAACUUUUUUUUUUUUUUUUUUUAAGAACUUGGGAAAAGCCCAGGAUUUUCUUUUCAGUAUUUCAAAGGAAAACAAAACAAAGAACUCUAACUAACGAGACUCAUGCCUAUGUUUUCAACUCCCUUAAGAACGCAUUAAAAAGAUGGUUCUUAUGUGGGUAGAUGAAGAGGCAUGAGGCAAAGCAAGUAUCACAGUCAAAGUCUGUGAUCACCUAGGUGGCGGCAGCUCUAUGAUAACUACUGUACAACUUUCCGAUGUCUUCCAUAUAUUUGAGAUUCUUAUAAUAAAAUGCUGGGAGAGGAAGCAACACUUAAAGAAGUCCAAUACUCAACCUUCUAAGUUUGCAACAAGAAUCAAUCCUAAACUCAGUGUCAGCCAUACACAAUAGCACUCACUUGUAAUCUCAGCAUUUGAGAGUGUGUGUGUGUGGGGGGGGGGAUGGGGGCAGAGAGGGGGGGUAGUUUGAAGCCAGGCUGGGUCACACAGCCACACACUUUCUAACAACUAAAACAAGAAGCAAAACUCCUAAGGGCAGAGAAUGCCACAUUUUCUUCUCAGACUUCCUCUCAGUGGGGCUUUAAUAAAGGGUUAGUUUUGUUUCUUUUUCCAUUGGUAAAGGCCUAAAACAGACCUCUCCCCGAAGUGUGUACUGCAUAGAUUUACUGUGGAGUGUACGUUUACCAAACACAAUGCACUCAGGCUGGUCAGAAGGCUCAUCACAAACUAAGCUCGCUCUGUGAGUUAAAAAUGAAAACACAGUCUCUGAAAAGUUGGCUUUGUCAAAAUUCUAACACGCUUCUUUUUCAAUAGUGAAGGCAGUGUUGACUCCUGGGGAUUGUGUGCUUGGGACACGGUGUCGUGAGGCUCGGACCAAGGUUCACCUUACACCAGCCUCGCCCUGUGUUUUGUCUUCACUUUCUUUAGAGACCAGUCAGGUCUCACUAUUGUAGCCGAGGCUGGCCUCGAGCUCACAUAGAGCCACCUGCCUCUGCCUUCUGAAUGCUGGCAUUAAGGGGUUAACCAAUCUCUGAUGACAGUAUAAAGCUGGGUGCGGUAUUACAUGCCUGUAAUUCAGCACUUGUCUAUGUUUCCCCCAUAAGACUUAUUUCCAGCAGGAACACCUGACUGGAGAAGAGAGACAGCCCCAGGAAUGGCUUCGGCUUCCUUUUCAGGUCAGACAGCUCCCACGCCUCUAGUUAGAAGAAGUCCCUCUCCAUAAGCUGUAGCCCUGUCUACACUGAUUUCUAGGAGCAGAAUUCUGAACCCAUUACCUGGACAGAAAGGUCUUUGGAUUUCUUUCUCUGAUAUCCAUGGCUCUUCUCCUUGCUCCAAUUUGAAGAUCACCUCUGGCUUGGAGACUUGAUACCCUGCUCAUCAGUGAGGUUGUAGUUCUCCA
ensembl:lincRNA